GUCUCUUACUUCCAAUCAGUGAAAUUGACCUUCCCGUGAAGAGGCGGGAAUGCACAAAUAAGACGAGAAGACCCUAUGGAGCUUUAACUAAGCCAACCCAAAGAGAAUAGAUUUAAUCCAUUAAGGAAUAACAUACUAAUCUCCAUGUAGUUGGUAGUUUCGGUGUGGGGUGACCUCGGAGAACUAAAAAAUCCUCCGAGGCGAUUUUAAAGACUAGACCCACAAGUCAACAUCACUCUAUCGCUCUAUUGAUCCAAAAACUUGAUCAACGGAACAAGUUACCCUAGGGAUAACAGCGCAAUCCUAUUCAAGAGUCCAUAUCGACAAUAGGGUUUACGACCUCGAUGUUGGAUCAGGACAUCCUGAUGGUGCAACCGCUUAUCAACAGGUUGCGUGUUGUUCAAGCGACUUAAGAGUCCUAGCGGUGAUCUGAGGUUCAGACCGGAGUAAUCCAGGUCGGUUUCUAUCUAUUACGUAUUUCUCCCAGUACGAAAGGACAAGAGA
rnacentral:rRNA from 1 species